AUGCAUCUAUUUGACAGACCUCCAGCACUUGCUUAUCUGCUGCUGAGGUUUCUAUUAUGGAUGCAAGAAAAAAGUCCUCGCGCUUUCUGCCUGUCUGAUUGUGGCAGCUCAGAUUGAAUGGGGGAGUACAGGA